rnacentral:sRNA from 1 species
AUGAGCUGUCCACUGGCCCGCCUCUGCCUGCUGACCCUGCUGUCGCCACCCCUCAGCUCAGCAGCCUCCAUCUCCCCGCCUGAGCCCAUCAGUCAAGCCUAUAGACUGGCCCUCUACAUGCAGAAGAACACCUCAAUGCUGCUGUGGACUUACCUCCAGUACCAGGGCAGCCCCUUUAGUGACCCUGGCUUCUCGGCCCCUGAGCUCCAGCUCAGCAGCCUGCCUCCUGCCACUGCCUUCUUUAAGACCUGGCACGCCCUGGAUGAUGGGGAACGGCUGAGCCUUGCCCAGAGGGCCUUCCUGGCAUUGACCCAGCACCUCCAGCUCGUGGGGGAUGACCAGAGCGACCUGAACCCUGGCAGUCCCAUCCUGCUGGCUCAGCUCGGGGCUGCGAGACUCAGGGCCCAAGGCCUGCUGGGCAGUAUGGCCACCAGCAUGACGGCCCUGGGGCUGCCAAUCCCCCCAGAAGAGGAUACUCUAGGGCUUGUUGCCUUUGGGGCCUCGGCCUUUGAGAGGAAAUGUCGAGGCUACAUGGUGACCCGGGAAUAUGGCCACUGGACAGACCGAGCUGUGAGAGACUUGGCUCUGCUCAAGGCUAAGUACCCAGCAUAG